GACGAGAGUGCUUGCACUCUCUGAUGUUAGCGGCGGACGGGUGAGUAACACGUGGGUAACCUACCUAUAAGACUGGGAUAACUUCGGGAAACCGGAGCUAAUACCGGAUAAUAUUUAGCUUCGCAUGAAGCAAUAGUGAAAGACGGUUCUGCUGUCACUUAUAGAUGGACCCGCGGUGUAUUAGCUAGUUGGUGAGGUAACGGCUCACCAAGGCAACGAUACAUAGCCGACCUGAGAGGGUGAUCGGCCACACUGGGACUGAGACACGGCCCAGACUCCUACGGGAGGCAGCAGUAGGGAAUCUUCCGCAAUGGACGAAAGUCUGACGGAGCAACGCCGCGUGAGUGAAGAAGGUUUUCGGAUCGUAAAACUCUGUUGUAAGGGAAGAACAAGUACGUUAGUAACUGAACGUACCUUGACGGUACCUUACCAGAAAGCCACGGCUAACUACGUGCCAGCAGCCGCGGUAAUACGUAGGUGGCAAGCGUUAUCCGGAAUUAUUGGGCGUAAAGCGCGCGUAGGCGGUCUCUUAAGUCUGAUGUGAAAGCCCCCGGCUCAACCGGGGAGGGUCAUUGGAAACUGGGAGACUUGAGUGCAGAAGAGGAGAGUGGAAUUCCAUGUGUAGCGGUGAAAUGCGCAGAGAUAUGGAGGAACACCAGUGGCGAAGGCGGCUCUCUGGUCUGUAACUGACGCUGAGGUGCGAAAGCGUGGGGAUCAAACAGGAUUAGAUACCCUGGUAGUCCACGCCGUAAACGAUGAGUGCUAAGUGUUGGGGGGUUUCCGCCCCUCAGUGCUGCAGCUAACGCAUUAAG
rnacentral:rRNA from 1 species